UACGGUAGGGUGCAAGCGUUGUCCGGAAUUAUUGGGCGUAAAGAGCUCGUAGGCGGUCUGUCGGCGUCGGCUGUGAAAAACUCGGGGGCUCAACCCCGAGCCUGACAGUCGAUACGGGCAGACUAGAGUGCGGUAGGGGAGACUGGAAUUCCUGGUGGUAGCGGUGAAAUGCGCAGAGUAUCAGGAGGAACAACCGGUGGCGAAGGCGGGUCUCUGGGCCGUGAACUGACGCUGGAGGAGCGAAAGCGUGGGGAGCAAACAGG
rnacentral:rRNA from 1 species